rnacentral:miRNA from 1 species
UUAAAUAACCGAUUUUAAAAGUAGCACUUUUAAAAUUGGUUCUUAAAUAAACGAUUUUAAAAGUAGCACUUUUAAGAUAGGUUAAAAUU